GAUGAAGAACGCAGUGAAAUGCGAUAACUAAUGUGAAUUGCAGAAUUCAGUGAAUCAUCGAGUCUUUGAACGCACAUUGCGCCCCUUGGUAUUCCGAGGGGCAUGCCUGUUCGAGCGUCAUUAUAACCCCUCAAGCUCAGCUUGGUAUUGGGGCCUGCCAUCCUGGCAGCCCUUAAAAUCAGUGGCGGUGCCAUCCGGCUCUAAGCGUAGUAACUCUUCUCGCUAUAGAGUCCUGGUGGAUGCUUGCCAUUAAUCUUUUAACUUCUAUGGUUGACCUCGGAUCAGGUAGGGAUACCCGCUGAACUUAAGCAUAUCAAUAAGCGGAGGA
rnacentral:misc_RNA from 1 species